UACCAAGGUGCAAAGCUACUUGCAGCAGC
rnacentral:piRNA from 1 species